rnacentral:sRNA from 1 species
UUAAAUCUUUUAAAAACUCUUGUACAUCUUUUAAAACCCUUUAAAAUCCCUUGUAAUUCUAUUGAAACACUUUUAAACCCUUUAAAAAUCUUUAAAAAACUCUUGUAAGUCUUUUAAAGCCCUCUAAAAUCUCUUGUAAAUCUUUUAAAACCCUUUUAAAAUCUCUUGUAAAUCUUUUAAACCCUUUUAAAAUCUUUUGUAAAUCGUUUAAAAUAUUUUUAAACCCUUUUAAUAUCCCUUGUAAAUCUAUUUUCCGCCAAAAAAAAAUUUUACGGGAAAAAUGUUUUCGAAAAUGUUUUUUGGCGGGAAAUUUUUUUUCGAAAAUUUUUGGCGGGAAAUUUUGUUUUGGAAUAAUUUAGGCGCAAAAUAUUAAUAUUUCAUUUUGUUAACGUAAAUCAAUUUACAAAUAGGGGUAAAAUGGUCAUUAAAAAUUUAAAUAGGGUAUAAAUGAAAAUGGUAAAUAGAAAAGGGUAGAAUUGAAAAGGGGUAGUGUGAAAAGGGCAUUAGAAAGAAUUUUUCUAAAAUUAAACCUGAUAAAACCCGACGCAUUUGAAUUAGAUCAUUAAAGCUCAAAUUUCAAACAUUAACGACGAAAAUGUUUAUAUAG